rnacentral:rRNA from 1 species
AUUGAACGCUGGCGGCAUGCUUUACACAUGCAAGUCGAACGGCAGCGCGGGCUUCGGCCUGGCGGCGAGUGGCGAACGGGUGAGUAAUACAUCGGAACGUGCCCAGUAGUGGGGGAUAGCUCGGCGAAAGCCGGAUUAAUACCGCAUACGACCUGAGGGUGAAAGCGGGGGAUCUUCGGACCUCGCGCUAUUGGAGCGACCGAUGGCAGAUUAGCUAGUUGGUGGGGUAAAGGCCUACCAAGGCGACGAUCUGUAGCUGGUCUGAGAGGACGACCAGCCACACUGGGACUGAGACACGGCCCAGACUCCUACGGGAGGCAGCAGUGGGGAAUUUUGGACAAUGGGCGAAAGCCUGAUCCAGCAAUGCCGCGUGCGUGAUGAAGGCCUUCGGGUUGUAAAGCACUUUUGGCGGGAACGAAAAGGACUGUGCCAAUACCACGGUUCGAUGACGGUACCCGCAGAAUAAGCACCGGCUAACUACGUG